rnacentral:rRNA from 1 species
CCACGGGGGGCAGCAGUGAGGAAUAUUGGUCAAUGGGCGAGAGCCUGAACCAGCCAAGUCGCGUGAGGGAAGACGGUCCUAUGGAUUGUAAACCUCUUUUGUCGGGGAGCAAAAAGGCCUCGUGAGGCCACAAGUGAGAGUACCCGAAGAAAAAGCAUCGGCUAACUCCGUGCCAGCAGCCGCGGUAAUACGGAGGAUGCGAGCGUUAUCCGGAUUUAUUGGGUUUAAAGGGUGCGCAGGCGGCCUGUUAAGUCAGCGGUAAAAGCCCGGGGCUCAACCCCGGCGAGCCGUUGAAACUGGCGGGG